rnacentral:rRNA from 1 species
CAGCCGUAAACAAUGUGCGUUAGGUGUGUCGGUAACCACGUGUUACUGAUGCGCCGAAGAGAAAUCGUGAAACGCACCACCUGGGAAGUACGGUCGCAAGGCUGAAACUUAAAGGAAUUGGCGGGGAAGCACCACAACAGGUGGAGCCUGCGGUUUAAUUGGAUUCAACGCCGGACAUCUCACCGGAUAAGACAGCUGAAUGAUUGUCAAUCUGAAGGUUUUACAUGACUAGCUGAGAGGAGGUGCAUGGCGUCAGUGACU